GCCUUCGUGGUGUGAUGGUCAGCACACUGAGCCGGUAUUUCAGAGGUCCGUGGUUCGAUCCCCGGCGAAGGAA
rnacentral:tRNA from 1 species